GUCAGCAUGGUGUAGUAGUUUGAGCAUUGGACUACUGCUCUGGAGAUUAGGGUUCGAAUCCCUCUUCAGCCA